UAGGGAAUCUUCGGCAAUGGACGAAAGUCUGACCGAGCAACGCCGCGUGAGUGAAGAAGGUUUUCGGAUCGUAAAACUCUGUUGUUAGAGAAGAACAAGGACGUUAGUAACUGAACGUCCCCUGACGGUAUCUAACCAGAAAGCCACGGCUAACUACGUGCCAGCAGCCGCGGUAAUACGUAGGUGGCAAGCGUUGUCCGGAUUUAUUGGGCGUAAAGCGAGCGCAGGCGGUUUCUUAAGUCUGAUGUGAAAGCCCCCGGAUCAACCGGGGAGGGUCAAUGGAAACGGGGGGACUUGAGUGCAGAAGAGGAGAGUGGAAUUCCAUGGGUAGCGGUGAAAUGCGUAGAAAUAAGGAGGAAAACCAGUGGCGAAGGCGGCUCUCUGGUCUGUAACUGAAGCUGAGGAUCGAAAGCGUGGGGAGCAAACAGG
rnacentral:rRNA from 1 species